AUGAGGCGAUUGGCUGACAGAGGCGGAGGAGGUGAUUGGCUGACAGAGGGGGAGACACGCACAAGAGUUCCAGCCACGCCCUCUGAGAGCACUUGCAACUGUCGCCACCCCUGGGGAGGGGACUGGGCAGCGGGCAAAGCCCUGCUGGCCUGAAGAGGAUGGGCGGCGGGCGAAGGAAGAGGAGGACGGUCCACCAGAUGCAUGACGGGACCAUGAUGGAGUUAAAUUAUCAAACCGGGAAGGAACUGUGGAUCUGAACCAGGCUCUGUGGGCCCAGGCAGGGCCCUGAUCUUUUACGUAUUGAGCAACGCCCCUGCCUAGAUGCCUGUCAAAGCCAGAGAGCCCAACUCAGUGACUUGGAUGUGUUUCCUGGAGUUGCUGCGGCUGCAGAUUCAGGAAGCUGCAAUUCAGAUCAGAAGUGUGUGUUUAUCUUUUACACAGUGGAUAAAUGUUCUUAACAAAAUCACCCACUCUGAGCUGCUUUUCAUCCUCUGGAAAUGUUUUGUUUGACCCUGCACCAGUAUAGUUUCUGAAGGAGAUUGUAAAGUUUCCCCUUUGGAUUAGUUAGUUUUCAAUUGCUAGAAUUAUGCAGGUUUGUAGGGUAACUUUCAUGUAAUUGAGUUUUGUUUUUGUUUUAUAAAUAUUCUCACCCACCUUGAGCCUUUGGGAGAGAACUCAACUAAAUAAAUGAUGAUAUUUGCCAUAGUUA